GUGUGCUGCUGGAGGUGGGAGAGCUGGCGGAAGGCCUUCUGGCAGUAGGAACAGUUGUAGGGCUUGGCCCCCGAGUGGAUACGGAGGUGCUGGGCCAGGUAGGAGCUGUUGGCGAAGGUCUUGGAGCAAUGUGGGCACUUGUGGGGCUUGGUCUCGGUGUGUGACUUGGAGUGGAUCUGCAUCUCCGACUUGGAGUAGAAUGUCAGU
rnacentral:lncRNA from 1 species